GCCGGGAUAGCUCAGUCGGUAG
rnacentral:tRNA from 1 species